AGAUUUCACGUGCAAGACACACACCAUGCGGUCGGCCAUUGUACAAUAUCUUCUUCUUUUCUGGAAGUUUGUGAUACCAUAAUGCCUCGAGACUGGAUCAUCGGAUUCUGAUGGAUUUGAUUUGCCUGAUCCAUUUGUGGAAUACAGUCUUGUAGCUACGUCGACCUCGCCAAAUGUCUUCACUAUGGGCAACGUAACUACACCAGCAUCACAAGUACCGGUAACACCAACCACAACAAUGCCUGUCGUGACACCACCAGUAAGGCCCAUCACAACAAUUUAACUCCUAUCUCUACAAUGUCGGCCAUAACAGCCCCAACAACACCAGUACUUGUACAGACACCAGCACCAACCCUAUGGGCCAAUGCUGGGACACCAACAAAAUCUGCUUGCAGAAUGCAGCGCUUGAACUAUUAUUAUACUGGAACUAUUUAUACAUUAUAUUGGAUCCGAUUCUGUGUACGGUGCAGUAACAUGUAUAUUUGUUUUCGAUGGCGUGCUUAUAAACUACAUUUAAUUUACUUUAUUAUUUUGUUAUGU
rnacentral:lncRNA from 1 species